CUAAGCAGGCUUUUGUUAUUGUAAUUGAAUCAAAAUUGUAGCAUCUUGUCUGCCAAAUUUGCAUUUUAUGCAUCGUAAUUAAGUGACAAAGAACUGAAACUGUGCCGCACAACUGUAUUCAAUUGCAGCACGUUCGAUGACUGCUAUGUGUGUGUGUGCGAGGGUGUGUGUGUUGAAUAAGUAAUGAAUUUACAACUUCUCAAGAAUUUCAAAUUAAAAACAAUAACACACAAGAGCAAGUCUAUGUCCAAGUCCAAGUCGAAGUCCAAGUUGAGUUGUGGACCCAGGAGUAAAAGCAAGCGCAGCCUGUGCAAAUUAGAGAGAAAACGAACAGCGAACAAAACAUGAAACAGACUGCAAUUCCAUAGAAGCGAAGGAGGAGAAGAAGGUUUGGCAGCAGAAAGCGAAGCGUAAAAAUUAACUUUGUUAAAAAGUACGCACUUUUGUGAGAUUUUUCUGCUCAAAUGUCCAUUGAGCAAAAAAAGCAGCGGCAAAAGCGAAAAAGUUACACAAAAAAAAAAAAAAAAACAUGGAAAAAAAUAACAAAAACAAAAACGACGAAGCGAAAGAAAAAAAAAAUUUGUAACGCAAAAUGAAAAUUAAACGAUGCUUAAAAUUACUUUUUCGUCAAACUCUUUACGCGCUUGCCAGCACUCACCGUGAUAUUGUG